rnacentral:rRNA from 1 species
UACGAAAGGGGCUAUCGUUGUCCGGAAUUACUGGGCGUAAAGCGCAAUUAGGCGGCCUUGUAAGAUGGGGGUGAAAUCCAUGGGCUCAACUCAGGAACUGACUUCAUGACUGCAAAGCUCGAGGAUGUGAGAGGUUGGCGGAAUUCCGAGUGUAGAGAUGAAAUUUGUAGAUAUUCGGAAGAACACCGGUGGCGAAGGCUGCCAACUGGAACAUUUCUGACGCUGAGGUGCGAAAGCGUGGGGAGCAAGCAGG